CGGGAAAAGCACAAGACCAGGAGUCUGUUGUAAAAUUUUUGCCCAGGACUUCACCUGCCAACUGUGUGAGUUUAGGCAAGACACUGAACCACUCUGAGACACAGUCACAUCUGCACGGGGGAACCCUUGCCAGAAGACUUGGAAACUGGAAAGGACAGGAAGGUUCCAGCCUUGGAGGCGCUGCAGAAGAGAGCAUGAGGAAAAUCUCCACUGAACAACAUAGUCAACCAAUACGAGCUUGGACCGGGCGGAAGAAAGAACCUUAGACCUGGAGUCAGACGCACUGCCCUCUGCCCCAUUUCAUCCAUGACCCGAUGCCAUCUUGGAGCCCUGACAGUUGAAGACCUCCAGAGCCCAGCCACAGCCAUGCUCAAGGCCACUCUCCAUGGGUUCAGAUGAGCCUCACACAUGAAGGAACCAGCAGAGGAACCCAGCUGUGCGAAACCAGGGGCUGAGAUCUCCAAGCCUGCUCAGAUCGGGAUUGGGCCUCUUCCACCCAGAUCCCCCA